rnacentral:lncRNA from 1 species
GGCAGUUUAUUGAGAUAUCUAACAACUAAUCAACUAUUUUCAGACAAAAUCAGGCAAUUUUCCAGCAAUUGGUAAGCAACCACCUUAAGGCAAAUUUAGACAAUGGUUACUUGAAGAAGAAUGAGUAGAAGAAAACCUAGAGAAAAGAGAAGAGAAACAGAGGCAGAGAGAUUUAGAGGUUAAGAGACUCCAUCACUCCUUCCUGAAACCAGCACUGUCUUGAGUCUGGGAUCGAGAAAGGCCAACAUGCAUGUUCACUCUUAUAUAGUCUAGUUGGUCUGAUGCUGCCCUUUGAGUUGGCACUACACUUGUGUCUAGAUUUGGGAGUAUUCGAUGAGGAUCUUUGGUGAUCAUGCACCCCCUCCUCCCUUUUCUGAUGUUUACCUGCUGCGAGCAGCCAUGAGAGGAGUGUAAACAGUCUAUCACUCUGCCUUUGCAGAGUGAUGUUCCAUAAAUCUUACAGCUUCUACAUCGUGUUCUGAAGGCUCUAUGCUUUCUUUUGCAGAUACUUACUAAGGCUAACUGACAGUCGUUAAGGCAAAUUCCAUUCUGUCUAGUUGUUUGAGUCAACGAGAUGCAACAAGUUCAUUUUAAGGCUCAGACAGCCUCACUAUGCAAACUCAGAGUGCUCUUUCAAGAUAUUAAGAUCCCAUAAGAGCUAAAUACUGGCAUGAAAGAGUUUUGUAAUGUGGAAGAGAGGAUGAACUGACCUAGUAAAAUGAUGCACUUCUCUAAAUGAAUAACAGCUUAAACAGCUUUCCAGGGUAAUUCUAACAGCUUACCUUCCAUACAUCGGACUGAAUUUGCAGAAAUCCAAUUACUACAUCAGUUACCACCACACUGCUUCCUCCUGCCACAUCCACUGCAAUUCUUCCUGUUCACAGUAUUGUGCCAACAGGUAACACAUUUACUGUAUCAUCUCUUCCAGACCUAGGCAAACUCUUGUUGGUCCUUGAAAGGCUAUCCCCCAGAGCCAGCAAUGAAGUUCUGUAUUUAAUGGCUAGGAAGGAAGAUUUCCAUUAGUCAAGCCAGUUCUGUUACUUGGCAGCUCAUGCCAAGAAUCAGCUUUGCAGUAAGUAGCUGUGAGUGAUUCUGACUUGCUGCAUGCUGAGGACUAGGCAGUAGCUUAACUGCCAUCAUCUCCUGCAAUGCCUUUUGCAGUCAGGCUUUAGUCUGCAUUGCCUCUUGCCAAGAAGUCCUCUUAGAGGCUCACAAUCUUAAAGGAGAGCAAGCAGCUAUGUAUUCAGACCUGUGCUGUCUGACAUGCAUGUUUUCUGGUCUGCUGGCAAUUCUGCUACUUUGGGAUGUGUUUUCACCUUGAAUUGCACCAGAAGUACCUAAUUCUUGCAAGAGGAAAUCUCAAGAAAAGAAAAAGAAAUGCAGUUAUUGGGAAAACUUCACAGAGAUUUCAGAGUUUUAUGCCUCCCUUCUGGGACUCUGUCCUCCUGUGAAUGAGAGCUGUUCCGUUCCUCCUGCCUUUGGACACUUCAGGGCCAGUAACACACAGCAAGCAAAGCAGCUCCUCAUGCAUAGCAAUGAGAUACACAGUCACGACCAGCUUAUUCCAUUGAUGUUUGGACAAAACAACAAUUAGAAGGAAAUGCAACAGGACAAGAUCUCUGAAUCCAUGAGUAGUUUAUUGUUUUCUGGCAUUGUAUAUACAGAUGUGACCUCAAAUUGUUGACCAUUAGAUGUAAGCCAGAAGAAUGGAAAAAUGCCUAGGGAUGUUACAAGAGCAGUUCAAAAGCAGUGAAGAAGGUUGUCAUGAUUGUGUGGUCAUAAACAGCCCAGAAUUGAGCAGGACCCCUCCCUACUGUAUCCUUCUCAAGGAUAAAUUAAUUUGGCUUUCAGUUUUUUCCAGAUACCUUCCUUCUCUGUGGACUCAGAACCCUCCAUUACUUUUUGUCAGUUUCCCAAACAUUUGUUACAUGAAAAUAAUAAGUAUUUUUGAUCUUUAAAUAUGAAUUUUGAGAGGCAUGGAGCAAACAAACAGCUGGAGAAUGUAUCAUGAACAUCUGCAUGUAUGGGUUCAGACAUCAUGGAAGAGGCUGUGGGAAUCGAAUGUUGUUUCUGCAUUAGAACAAGAAAACAAUUUUCUUAAUUCCAUGGCCUCUGCUACUAUUUGGUAGCAGAUAUGUAUAUAUCUCCAUAGAGAUUAGGUAGAUGGAGUAAGUUGUAAGCACGAAGACUGCAGCUCCUGUCUGUCCAGCCAUCUGAAAAACUUCUGGGCCUCCAGUUAAAGGCAAGCUAGAUGUAAUAAAUACCUUUACAAAUCAGAAAUCCCUUGAUGUUGGAAGACUACUAGUUUUUGGUGCUAGACAGACAGGACCUGAGUAAUAGAGAAUUAAAGGAGAAGUUGUUAAAUAAUUUACAACAUACACAUAUAAGCUAGCAACAACUUAUGUAUAGCCAGGAUGGCUACUGACUGACAUCAGAUAACACAUGAAUUAACAAGUAAUUAACAAAUGUAAACCUUCGAUAAGAUUGUGAAUCUGGAGUACCCCGCCAAUGGGGAAAUGGUGGGGGGGAGGGGGAUAAGCAAGGGGGGGGGAAAAGUACAAAAGCUGUCAUACUAUGCCCAUAGAUGCGCUCCUGCUUGCAGGACACCCGCCAUUGCGAUCGUGAAUAAAAUCUGCUUUUAUCAGAGGUACUGUCCUGACAAAAUGAUUUAGGUAUUUCCAAAAAGGUCAAAGGCAAAUGCAAACAGCCCCAACUCCUGCUCUGGCCUAGGGACCCACUCUGGAUCCAGCACGUGGCAUCCAACAAGCAGGGUGUCUUCAAACCAGGGUGCUGAACAACAAACUGGAAACUGAGGUCAAAUCAGUCUUCCUGCAGACGGAUUUGAAACCAGCAUACGUUGUUAUGGCUCUGCACCCCAUACCAACAUCCUGCUAGCCAGCAAAACUAGGUUCUAUGUAAAAUCAACUGGGAAAGGGUUAAAAGGAGAUGUGUGAUUUUUUUGUGUUCUUCCCAUCUCCAUUGCUGGCUAUACUGGAUCUAGAACUGGUCCGAACAAGGCAGGCAGCCUUUAGAUUGCUGUCAUUUGUCUGUGAUAGCUAUUAGCCCUUCAGGCUGUUUUACAAACUCUGUUGGGGUACAGGCACCCCAUAGCUCUGUACUCUCUGCCCCACACAGUACCCCUCACUAUUUUUAACCACGGUAGUGUUUACAAGCUUAUAACAAAUGUUGCUUUGGAUGUAGUGUGACAGGAAUAAACCCUGUGUGGCCUUAGGACAGCUACUGUCCGACACCUUUGAAAGUCUUAGGAAUAUCUGCCCUUCUCUUUCUUUGUGUUUCCCUUUCUGCCCUGUAAAGGCUGAGAGCAAGGUGGAGGGUAGCAAAAAAUUAUGUCCCAGCUGUGAAACUGGGCUAGAAAUGCCCAUCUGAUUCCCCAUAUGCUGCAAGGGCAGUAUUUAUCUUCUCCCUUUCCAAGCAGACCCCGAGCUUGAGGUCAUCAAAGAUGCCUGAAAUGAGCAAUGAAGGCACCCCGAGGGCAUGGGUUUGUCACCGUCAUCUCCAUCCCAGUCACCAGCUCCUCACCGCUGUAUCCAAACUCAGGCUUCAACAGUAGAGGUAGCAGUGGUGCACAUGGACAUCAAGGACUGACUAUUGCUGGGGAGCAGGAAAUGGAGGAAGUAGUGCCCAGAUCGACUAGCUACAGACCUUCAUGUCCUGGCUUGUCUUUUCUCCAAGGCUUCUGCUCACUCUCCAGUUGUUUGGAGCAACUCAGGGGAAGCUGACCACACUCUGACCACACUCCAAGCUUCACUUGGAGGUUUCAUAUUCACCCAUGUCCUUUUUCUUGUAGCACAGGAGUAAAAAGAACACAAAGAUCUGCAUUUUCUACUGGCAGAAGCAACAGAGAUAGUGUUUCCUGGAUGCAAAAAUAAUUAUGAGGAAUACUGUCUUAUGAUUUUAGAGAAAAAGAUAAUGAGCUGCAAAAACUGCUAAUUACAGUUAGGUCCCAUUCUCCUCUGGCUGAUUUGAGUUUUUCCCAUUAACUAGCAGAGAUAGGCCUAGUCCCUCUGGCAUUGACAUGUCGGUAAUCAAGAUUAAUAUUAAUAAUAAUAAUAAUGAAAUAGUAAUAAACACCUCUGAGCCAGUAGCUCUUCAUGGGAUACAUUCUGCCAUUUCUGUCCUCAUCUUUUCAGAAGGGCAGAAUAUUGUGAUAAAGAUUGGGUGCUUUAAAAGAUUGCUUUCCCAGUCACAAAACUUUCCCUAUUUAACAUGUUAUCCCCUGAAACUAAACUAUUUUUUUUUCCCCUUGUGAGUGCGUAAGAAAAAUAUUCCUUUGAUUGAUGGCAUAACUCAGGCUCCAUCAAAAUUAAAGCCAUAAAUUCCCCAUAGCAGCCAAAACCACUGAGCAAGGGAGUCUGGCUUGGAAGGAUUUAGAGACAUUUUGGGAACUCAGAUGUGAGAUGCCUGGAAGGUGCUCAUAAUGUGGUGCAUUUCAGCUGAGGGCCUUCUGGCUGUCAUGAGUUGUGCUCCAGAGACAAAGAGCUAGAGAAUCAUUGUUUCUGAUAGGCAAGUCAACAAAAUUGAAAUUCGUUAUAUCAGUUUAAGAUACAGUCCUAAAGCCAAGGAGUCCCAUCUUGUGAUGAGCUCCAAAAAUCUUUCAUACCACUAAAAUCUAUUAGAUAUCUGCUUUUCCCCAAGAACUACGGUCCUUUCCACGCAUGGAGAGGUCCACACUCUCCAUGCUCUCCUGCCAUUUUUUUUUCUCACAUUAUGAAGUAGCCAGUCAGCAUGAGCAGAGCAUGCAGAGAGCACCCAUCUCCUCACCAAGUGAAUAUCUGGGUCAUGGCUGAAAGGGACAGGAGGCAAUACCUGUCUUUUAAGAAGGAUUGGUCUGGUCAGAAGCAAACUGUGAUAGGUCAGGCAUGAAAUGAGACUACUGAGGACCAUAAGUACCUCCAGCUGUCUCAGCUGACAUGUACAGACAAGUACACAUGGCUUUAAGUCAAAACCUCACUUGCAGGUACCUUCUACAUAGAGUGGGAGACAGCUUAGUAGCAAGUGCAGGUCCUCAGGGCCUCUGCAGGAGCAUCCAGCAGCAGCCUAGCCCCAGCCCCAUGCCACGGGUAGAGUCCCCACCACUUCGUCCUCUCCUGUGUCUCAACAAGGAGCUGUUGGUGCACCAAACUCCCACACCCUUGCAGCAUCAUGGUGCAAAAAGGAAAGUCUGGGUAUAGCUGGAAUAUUUGGCCACUCCAGCAUGCCAAGGAUUUACUUUCUAAUAUUCAUAAUGGCAUUUCCGUUUGAAAGGUUUGGGAAGUUAUUUGAGAAAAAGAAAAAAAAAAAGAAUUUGGAAACAUUUUUAAAAGGUCAAAAUCAAAAUAAACGUUUGGAAAAUAAGGCAUCUGCUCACCCAGUCUGAAAUGUUCAUUUCCUUUGGAUUUGCUGCGCAUAAUUUUUUUUUUUUUCCAGGGCUUCAACAUUUCUUCUUUUCUGGUCAGAAAAGAAUGUCAGAUUCUGACAGUUCCUGUGGGGCUGGAUGGACCUCUCCCACUUGGCCCUUCUGUGUGCACAACGUUAGUAUGAGAAAUGGGCCCUUGGAUUGUACACCAGCUGAGCAAUUUGCUUCCAAAAGGAAACCACCACCAGAGUAGAAAAAGAUGUUGAGAACAAAAGUUAUUGUUUAAUGUGAUAAAGGAAAUCAGUGUUGAAAACAGCUUCCACUGCAUGCCACCUCCUACAGCUUUGUCAUCUGGAAACAAAGAUCCCACUCUCUCUCCUCCACAGACUUGACCUAAAGCUUAUCUUUCUCCUGGUUGCGUAUCACUUCAAUUCUAUGACUUUUACGCUCCCUGCAGUCUCUCUGACUUUGCUUGGCAGGUCCAUGGGCAGGAUACUUUUGUUACACAUUUUCCAAAGCACAGCAGGCUACUGCUGCCUGAUGCAGGCACUAUACCAGUACAGAUAAUAAAUAAAGAAGAACGUGCCAAGCCAUACAAGAAGUAGAACUUUGAAGUUUUCUCUCUCUUCUGUUUUUCUCAUUGCAAUUUUAAUAUAGCCACUGAGAAGUCAAUAUAUUUCACCCUUGCUGCUCACUAAAUAUUCUCAGAUCAGCAGAGACAUAGAGCUGUUGAACAUGCUAAAAGCAAGAACGAGAAACUGUUUGCCAAACAGAUGUAGAACAUUAUUACUAGUUUCUUGUUUUUCAUCAUUCAUCCUCAGUCAAGAAAAAAAAACAAUAAUUGAAGUCUGAAACUGGAAACAAACCUUACAGCAUUUGGAUUCUGAAGUACGGAGAGAAAUGUGAAAUCGGCAGUCAUCCUCCCAUUUGUCCUUUAGCCUUCAUGUGUUUGUUGUCUUUGGAGUUAUUUUUAAAACAUCUCUACCUCAAAAGUUAUCUUCCGACAAGAGGGGAUUUCUGAGGUGUUGGCAGUGCCCUCUCCAUAACCCAGAGAAGGGAGUAGGUUGAGAAUGCUGUGAUAUCUGAGUAUCACACAAACAGCUGUUGGUGCGUACAGGCUGACUUAUCCUAAAUGCAACAAAGACAUGACAGAUGCUGUUCUCCCACUAUAGUGCAGGUUUCCAAAUUCCCAGCAAUUGUCCUCAUGCACUUGUGAUGCCACCAUGCACAAUUUCAGGACUCUUUUGAUUUUCCUUGUCAUACAAGACCUUCUAAAUCCAUUCCCUAAGCAAUGGGGAAGAGCUGCAGGACUAGGCCCUGAACUCUUCUUUCUGAGUUCAGUUUUGUAACCAGUUGAAAGUUUUGUGGCUGCACACUGCUCACUCACGUUGAUGCUAAAGGCAAGUAGCUCUCAGGCAAAAUCUCAUCCAGUCGAAGGUGAAGGAAAACCUCCUAUUAACUUCACUAUGGUAAGGCUUUACCCCUCAUUUCUGUGGUCCAAGUAUUUCUGUUGUCUUCUUAUCAAGUAGAGGGAACCCAGCCAAGGUGGAUCACCUAGGGAACACUGAAAGAAGCAGCUCUAGGGUCUCCAAAUGGAUCAGAAAUACCCUCAAAUGCUGUGUACUUGCCCAGGGUGCUGCAAGAGGUUCUGCAAACAGCAGUACAAUGAGGAGCCAGAGGAGGCUGCCAGAGAUGGAGGCGGUAUGGGAGGAGGUUAGAGGAAGAUGAGGUUAAGUCUUUUCUCUAAACUGUAUGAAAAGUUCAGCUACAAAGUGGGUGAAAGUUUAUACAGGAUACCAAAGCAGUUCUUCUGUUGGUUGCAUAGAUAUUUCCAGGAUCCUUGAAUUUAUGAAACACAAAGCUUGGACAUUCUUGCAAGAAAACGAUAUCUGAUAACAUUGCCAAAGCUGUGUCCUGUACUGUCAGGCAACAUACAAAGGACUAGUAAAAGAAAUAUGAUCAUAUUUGUACUGACAAGUCAACAGAAGAGGUGAAAUGUCCCCAUCGCUGUUUUUUGUGUUUCUGCCUUUUGCGGUCUUAUAGAUAUCCUAGGUAUGAAACAAGUUGUCUUCUGUUCUGACCUCUGAAAACACCAGGAACUGUUCUGAAGUGAUUUAUACAGGUUUUGAUGAACUACUGUGAUGUACUCAGCCCUAUACUAGUUCACCUCUAGAAAAGGACCCUGGCUCUGCAGCUGGUAACUUGCUCUAUCACCCACUAGAAAUGACACCUUGCUCUGCAGAGUACUUUUUGUGGGCUUAGUCAAAACUGGUAGUUGGUGCACUACUGACAGCUUGACAUUGUUGUGAACAGAAAGUGGGGUGAUUUUGUUUUAUAUAUUUUGUUUAUUUCCCCCCCCCCCCAAAUCUUGCAGUAUUAAUAAGAAAAUUGAGUUGUCUCUGCAGUUCUCACUGGAGUCUGUAUCAAGUAUAAUGCUCUUUCAUGGGGUAUUUGGAACAUUUAUAAUCUACUAUUUGAUGACUGAAAAUGGAUUGUUCCUCUUUUGUUACAGAUGUGAUUUGAAGUCAAACUGGAAAGGUUGCUGAGUGUAAUGCUAUAAUGAGAUGAUAACAGCAGGGUGGCAAAGCCUUUGGCUAGAGCAAAUGAGAAUGAGCCCAAAUGCAGCAGUCACAGAAACAAAGGUAGAAAGCUGCUUACCUUUAGAAGAUCUCAGGUAGGCAAGGAGGGGAG